rnacentral:rRNA from 1 species
CCCUUAGAUGUCCUGGGCCGCACGCGCGCUACACUGAUGCAUUCAACGAGUCUAAAACCUGCUCUGAUAGGGGUGGGUAAUCUUUUGAAUGUGCAUCGUGAUUGGGAUAGAUGGUUGCAAUUUUUCAUCUUCAACGAGGAAUGCCUAGUAAACGCAAGUCAUCAGCUUGCAUUGAUUACGUCCCUGCCCUUUGUACACACCGCCCGUCGCUCCUACCGAUUGAAUGAUCCGAUGAAUAUCAUGGAUUGAGGAUGCAAGCAGGUUCGCCUGUCUUCAUCUUCGAGAAGUGAAGUAAAUCUUAUCAUUUAGAGGAAGGAGAAGUCGUAACA